rnacentral:rRNA from 1 species
GAAAGUAAGAAAGGGUACACGGGGGAUGCCUUGGCUCUCAGAGGCGAAGAAGGACGUGAUAAGCUGCGAUAAGCCGUGGGGAUCAGCAAAUAUGAAUUGAUCCGCGGAUUUCCGAAUGGGGAAACCUAAUCAUUUGAAGAAUGAUUGCAUAAAUGCGCAAACCCGCUGAACUGAAACAUCUAAGUAAGCGGAGGAAGAGAAAACAAUAGUGAUUUCCUGAGUAGUGGCGAGCGAAAGGGAAGAAGCCCAAACCGGUUAUGUUACGGCAUAACCGGGGUUGUAGGACCAUAACAUGACUAAUAGAUAGAAACUGAACGGUGUGGGAAAGCCGGCCAAAGAGCAUGAGAGCUGCGUAAGUGUAAUAGCUAUUAAGAUAGUGGUAUCCUGAGUACCGCGAGGUCGGAGACGCCUUGUGGGAAUCUGCCAGCACCAUCUGGUAAGGCUAAAUACUCCUGAGAGACCGAUAGUGAACCAGUACCGUGAGGGAAAGGUGAAAAGAACCCCGAACAGGGGAGUGAAAUAGAACCUGAAACCGUGUACUUACAAGCGGUCGGAGCAUGAAAGUGUGACGGCGUGCCUUUUGCAUAAUGAGCCUACGAGUUACUCCUCUCUGGCAAGGUUAAGUGGUUCAGCCACGCAGCCGAAGCGAAAGCGAGUCUGAAUAGGGCGUGCAGUCAGAGGGGGUAGACGCGAAACCUUGUGAUCUACCCAUGGACAGGUUGAAGGUGCCGUAACAGGUACUGGAGGACCGAACCGAUAAACGUUGAAAAGUUUCCGGAUGAUCUGUGGGUAGGGGUGAAAGGCUAAUCAAACUGGGAAAUAGCUCGUACUCCCCGAAAUGUUUUUAGGAACAGCCUGGCGGUUGAGUUAUAUAGAGGUAGAGCUACUAAUUGGGUGCGGGGGAGUCAAAUCCUACCAAAUCCAGAUAAACUCCGAAUGCUAUAUAAUAUACGCUGGAGUGAGGCUCUGGGUGCUAAGGUCCAGGGCCGAGAGGGAAAGAACCCAGACCAUCAGCUAAGGUCCCUAAAUUACCACUAAGUUGAACUAACGAGGUCCGAUUGCACAGACAGCUAGGAUGUUGGCUUGGAAGCAGCCAUUCAUUUAAAGAGUGCGUAACAGCUCACUAGUCGAGCGAUCGGGCAUGGAUAAUAAACGGGCAUCAAGUGGUAUACCGAAGCUAUGGAUUGCAUGUAAAUGCACUGGUAGGGGAGCAUUCUACAGAGGGUGAAGCAGAUGCGUAAGCUACUGUGGACUUUGUAGAAAAGCAAAUGUAGGCAUAAGUAACGAUAAGGCGGGAGAGAAACCCGCCCACCGAAAGACUAAGGUUUCCUGAUCAACGCUAAUCGGAUCAGGGUUAGUCGGGGCCUAAGGUGAAGCCGAAGGGCGUAGCCGAUGGAUAACUGGUUAAUAUUCCAGUACUUUUUAUAACUGCGAUGCGGUGACGGAGUAGUGACACUGACGCGAACUGACGGAAUAGUUCGUUAAAGGCCGUAGGUAUAUGAUGUGUAGGUAAGUCCGCACGUUUUGCUGAAAGCUGAUAGUACCGCAAACCUUCGGGGGCGUGGAUAGUUCAGGUAAUCAGACUUCCAAGAAAACCCGCUAAGCUUCAGGUUAUAAAAACCCGUACCGUAAACCGACACAGGUAGUCGAGGAGAGAAUCCUAAGGUGCUCGAGUGAAUCAUGGCUAAGGAACUCGGCAAAAUGGCCCUGUAACUUCGGGAGAAGGGGCGCUGUCAGCAAUGGCAGCCGCAGUGAAAAGGCCCAGGCGACUGUUUAACAAAAACACAUGGCUUUGCAAAAUCGAAAGAUGACGUAUAAGGCCUGACACCUGCCCGGUGCUGGAAGGUUAAGAGGGGAUGUUAGUCGCAAGGCGAAGCAUUGAAUCGAAGCCCCAGUAAACGGCGGCCGUAACUAUAACGGUCCUAAGGUAGCGAAAUUCCUUGUCGGGUAAGUUCCGACCUGCACGAAUGGUGUAACGAUCUGGGCGCUGUCUCAGCCAUGAGCUCGGUGAAAUUGUGGUAUCGGUGAAGACGCCGGUUACCCGCAACGGGACGGAAAGACCCCAUGCACCUUCACUAUAGCUUAACAUUGACAUCGGGUACAGGAUGUGUAGGAUAGGUGGGAGACUGUGAUCAUGCUUCGCUAGGAGUAUGUUAGUCAACGUUGAAAUACCACCCUUUCUGUAUUUGGUGUCUAACCCGGCACUGUCGGGGACAUUGUUUGGCGGGUAGUUUGACUGGGGUGGUCGCCUCCAAAAAGGUAACGGAG